rnacentral:rRNA from 1 species
GACGCUGCGGCGUGCCUAAUACAUGCAAGUCGAACGGUCUUUCUAUGGAAGCUUGCUUCCACUGAGAAGAUAGUGGCGAACGGGUGAGUAACACGUGGGUAACCUGCCCAUAAGAGGGGGAUAACGAUCCGGAAACGGGUGCUAAUACCGCAUAGUUUUCUUGAUCGCAUGAUCGGGAAAGGAAAGACGGCCUUUGUGCUGUCGCUUAUGGAUGGACCCGCGGCGUAUUAGUUAGUUGGUGAGGUAACGGCUCACCAAGACGAUGAUACGUAGCCGACCUGAGAGGGUGAUCGGCCACAUUGGGACUGAGACACGGCCCAAACUCCUACGGGAGGCAGCAGUAGGGAAUCUUCCGCAAUGGACGAAAGUCUGACGGAGCAACGCCGCGUGAGUGAAGAAGGUUUUCGGAAUCGUAAAACUCUGUUGUCAGAGAAGAACAAGUUGGAGAGUAACUGCUCCAGCCUUGACGGUAUCUGACCAGAAAGCCACGGCUAACUACGUGCCAGCAGCAGC